UAAUAAGUGUUUUCUGGGCACUUUUUAAAAUACCAUACCCACCUUGUGUGCAAUGUAUUUUUGGAGGCGAGUUCGAAUCUUGGAAGUGUUUGCAACGCGACGCGUCUUGGACGCGUUUCAAUGUUACACAACCAAAAGGAGGCUCGUGCCAAAACAAAAUACCAACUCUUUUUAAUUUUAAUCAUUUGUCUUAAAAAUAUUAUGAAUACUUAAUUCAAAUA
rnacentral:misc_RNA from 1 species